rnacentral:piRNA from 1 species
UGGGUUGUCUACUCUUUUGGCCCUAGG